rnacentral:rRNA from 1 species
CACGUAGGGCGCAAGCGUUGUCCGGAAUUAUUGGGCGUAAAGAGCUCGUAGGCGGUCCGUCACGUCCGCUGUGAAAACCCAGGGCUCAACCCUGGGCUUGCAGUGGAUACGGGCAGACUAGAGGUAGGUAGGGGAGAAUGGAAUUCCCGGUGUAGCGGUGAAAUGCGCAGAUAUCGGGAGGAACACCGGUGGCGAAGGCGGUUCUCUGGGCCUGACCUGACGCUGAGGAGCGAAAGCGUGGGGAGCGAACAGG